CCGUGCUAGGUGGGGCACUAGGGGUGCCCUCUGUCCGAAAUCCUCUUCAUGCGGAGCUGAAUCCCCGCCUGAGGGUGUGACGAUGACGGGUCAGCGCCGGUUCGGUCGAUGUUGAUGGCAAGGUCCCGUUGCGGCGGAGCGUCGUGAAUCGGGUCAGGUCCGGAAGGAAGCAGCCCUAAGCGGGCCAGCUCCGGGUGUGACGGGGUUGCCUUGAAGGAGUCGAUCGUCCGGAACGCGCCGAUGUUCGAGCAUUCGAAGGCGGGUGCACGG
rnacentral:SRP_RNA from 1 species